rnacentral:lncRNA from 1 species
CGCCGGCUCCGGUGGCGCCGCCCGGUUUCCGAAUCCCGGCGGCUCCCGCGCAGUUCCGGAGUGGAGGGAGGAAGUCCAGUCCCGGCGGCCAGGCUCCCCGCCUCUCUCGCUGAGGGCGCCAAGGCCCCUCUCCCCUCCUCCGUCCUUGCGAGGUCACAGCCCGGAGAGCUGGAGGAGGAGGUGAUGGGGAAAAAGACAUCUUGUCGCAGCUCCAGGUUUCCAGCCUAGGGAAUUUAUCUUUGGGGGGACAGAAUGCGUGCCAGGAAACCGAGUGCUGAGCAUACGUUUUCUUUGCUCCCACGAGGGAUCCCACGAAGCUGCCGAAGAGGCAGCGAUGUUGUGGGACCCUGAGGCGAGUGUCAGACCAAACUCAGCACUAGACGUGGACACCCAUCCUGCACACAGAAGAUGCUGAUUUUAGGGCCCCUCCUGAGGAUCCCCUACCCAGGAAUGAAACCAGUCACAUUGGUUCCCAGAGACGUGAAAAGCUGGGAAGUAUGGAGGAGAUGAUAGUAAAAACUAUAGGGAUUGUGGAGGCAGAGUUUCAAAAAUGAGAUAUUUCUUCAAAGUGUGGUGGACCUGACUUGGCUGCUGGCCUUGAACGGGCUGGGGAUCUCCAUGAGCAGUCUCCUCAAUUAAAUCCAACAUCCUAGGAAGAGAAAAAAAGAAACUCCAUCCACCUGCCGGUAGGGUUUCAACAAAAGGACCCCGGACAAAACAUGACUAUUAAUUGGGACAAAACUGAAAAGUGGAAGCAAAGUAAAGCUCCCACCAGCCUCCCGGGAACUGAGCAGAAGCUCUUCAAUGGAAGCCAAGGAACUUGUUUGCAGACGAUCAGAGGGAUCAGCUCAGAAACCUAGCCCUGACCUGACAGGCCCUGGAAUUGCCGAGAGAAGGGGACUGAACAUGGGCCCUGUCCUAAAGGACUCACAAGCAAGAGACCAGGCCCAAAGUGUCAUGGGAGUCAUGCUGGGGACAGCAGGAUGCACAGAAUGA